CUCUGGCUGAUCCUGCUAGUAGUCCACACACUUGUCUCAGAGGCUAAGCCAUGACAUUGUCUAAGUACAUUACCUUUAACCGGUGGGGCCGCGAAUGGCCCAUUAAGUCAGCCAUGGUUCCUUGUGAUCGUCUCGAGUACUACAAUGAUAACCGUAGUAAUUCUGAAGCUAGUACGUGCCACUGUGCCCUGACCCGCGAGGGGGCGGGUGGAUUCGUUAGAACAUGACCAACCGAGGGCGGCUUUGGUCGCCCCUGUUGCAUUCUGUGUUGGCCCUGGAUAACUUCACUGAUCGCCGUCGUCCUUGUGUCGGCGACCGAUCUUUCAAACGUCCGCCCUAUUAAUUUUCGAAUGAGGGUGAUCUGCUUACCGUGGUGCUAACGGAUAAAGGAGAAUCGGGGUUUGAUUCCAUGGGAGGGACCCUGAGAAGUGGCUUCUAAUUCUAAGGAAGGCAGCGGGCAGGCAAAUACCCGAUCCCAGCAGGGAGAGGUAGUGACGAAAAAUACGGAUAGGGGACUCACUAGAGGCUUUGAAAUUCGAAUGAGUACAAUUUUAACCCCUCAAAGUAGAUCAACUGGAGGGCAAGUCUGGUGCCAGCAGCCACGGUUACUCCAGCUUCAGAAGCUUAUGUUAAAGUUGUUGUAGUUAAAAAGCUCGUAGUUGGAUCUGGGUCGCAUAGCUACAUGCUGUCGCUCGUGGGUCUGGCCUGGUUGCUGCUGGGCUGUGCUUGCUAGUCGGUCCCGUGGGUAUGCUUCCUUUCUGCUGUGUCUCUUUACGGGUGUCAGCGUGACUGGUGGGCUUGCCUGCUAGUCUGUUGGAAUGCCUCUCGGUGCCUUUAUUCGGGUAUCGCGAAAGGACAGCAAGUUUACUUCGAACAAAUUUGAGUGCUCAAAGCAGGCCAUUGUGCCUGUAAAUUCUUGCAUGGAAUAAAGAAAUAGGACUUCGGUUCUGUUUUACUGGUUCACGGAUCCGACACAUUGGGCCUCUGUAUGGCCGUGUAAGAGGUGAAAUUCCUGGAUCGUCGCUAGACAAACCACUGCGAAGACAUUUGCCAAGGAUAUUUUCACUGAUCUUUAGCGAAAGUCAGGGGCUCGAGGACCAUCACGUAUCGUCCUGGUUCCGAUCAUAAACGACGUCAACUGACGAUCCGUGAUGAAUAACGAAAGAAACUCCGGCCCGCUAAAUAGUACGCCUCUCCUCCGUUCUCGUGCAGGUUGCAUUGUUCAUUGUUUCCUAGUGGGGUACUGGUUGUAAGUCAAUUCUCGCAAAUCGAGCUGCGCGUAUCCAAUUCAAAAGAAUCCCAAAACCAGAACAUGGCUGAUUCUUGGUUUCAACGGUUUUCAAUUGAAAUUUAUAAAAGUUACAAAUGUAUGCAAACCUCAGGCAUGCAGCCAAAUAGACCCCACAGAAAAACCCAACGGGUGAAAACCCCGUAGCUCAAGUGCGACAGGCAGAAACGGUUCAAGGCCAAAAUCAAAUGUCUCACUUAACUAAACAAACGCGCAAACGUGUGGUGUACGGAAGUGCUUUUCGUAGUAAUGUCAAAAAUAGUGAAAUUCACAAGGCGUUUAUAAUAUUUGGAAGGGUUUUUAGUAUUUGUUCUUUGCACCGCCGGCAAAGAUCCCUCCGCGAAAAUAGUUGCCUAAGGUCCAGGAUGAGCGUCCAUGUUCUCAUCUCUACUCCACCUAUAACUUAUUGUCAGUGCCUGUGUGUAUCUAACGUUUCUAUGUUAGCUGCGCAUGAAAGCGGUCUUCCGCCUAAGUCAUCAUUUGCACAAUGCAUAAAAAGUCAAUUCCAACUCCGCUGCACCAAAUUCAGAUCAUGGGUGUAUUAUGCAGAAAAAUCUACGCACACAGGUCAGACGGCGAGACUCAAAAUGAAAGGCAUUCCAGAGUAGAACACUUUGCCGGGCUGAGCCUAGUCUACUUUAUCUCAAACGGUAAACUACUCUGCAGUAACUGGUUGAACUAAGUUCGUUUACAAACUUGAGCGCAGGGAAGUUGAGUAGAUCUGCAACGCUCAAGUGACAAUGAGAUAUCGCGUGAAACAUAAAGAUGACAGGAACAGUAGAAUUACAUAAGAUUAACACACCAAACGUUUCCAAAAGAAAUGGAAACCGGGUUUCUGGUUAUCAAGUAAGUUUCGAAAUACAUAAGUGUACGACGGACAAGUAAGAGAAUAUACAUGAACACGAAAAUGUCGCAAUACUGGCAUUUAUCAGACUAUUUCCGGUUUUUUCUGUGUACAAAAAUAUGUGACAACACAAUAACGUAUAAAAUGUGAAUAAAUGUUCUUCUUCAAAGGCAGGAAUAGCUUUACAAUGUGAUUUUAACUACUAGUGUCUCACUU
rnacentral:rRNA from 1 species